UAGCGAAGGGGCUAGCGUUGUUCGGAAUCAGCUGGGCGUAAAGGGCGCGUAGGCGGCUUUGUAAGGUCGGGGGUGAAAGCCUGUGGCUCAACCACAGAAUUGCCUUCGAUACUGCAUGGCUUGAGACCGGAAGAGGUUAGUGGAACUGCGAAGUGUAGAGGUGAAAUUCGUAGAUAUUCGCAAGAACACCAGUGGCGAAGGCGGCUGACUGGUCCGGAUCUGACGCUGAGGCGGCGAAAA
rnacentral:rRNA from 1 species